UACGAAGGGGGCUAGCGUUGCUCGGAAUCACUGGGUGUAAAGCGCACGUAGGCGGCUUUCUAAGUCAGGGGUGAAAUCCUGGAGCUCAACUCCAGAACUGCCUUUGAUACUGGAGAGCUUGAGUCCGGAAGAGGUGAGUGGAACUCCGAGUGUAGAGGUGAAAUUCGUAGAUAUUCGGAAGAACACCAGUGGCGAAGGCGGCUCACUGGUCCGGUACUGACGCUGAGGUGCGAAAGCGUGGGGAGCAAACAGG
rnacentral:rRNA from 1 species